UCGGAUAUGGUGUAACGGCUAACAUGGCUGUCUUUCAGGAAAGGCAAAGUCAGAACCUCUGAUCACAGCAGCCCCGGGUUCGACUCCCGGUAUCCGAA